rnacentral:rRNA from 1 species
GGUUAAGCGACUAAGCGUACACGGUGGAUGCCCUGGCAGUCAGAGGCGAUGAAGGGCGUGCUAAUCUGCGAUAAGCGCCGGUAAGGUGAUAUGAACCGUUAUAACCGGCGAUACCCGAAUGGGGAAACCCAGUGUGACUCGUCACACUAUCAUUAACUGAAUCCAUAGGUUAAUGAGGCGAACCGGGGGAACUGAAACAUCUAAGUACCCCGAGGAAAAGAAAUCAACCGAGAUUCCCCCAGUAGCGGCGAGCGAACGGGGAGGAGCCCAGAGCCUGAAUCAGCAUGUGUGUUAGUGGAAGCGUCUGGAAAGGCGCGCGAUACAGGGUGACAGCCCCGUACACAAAAGCGCAUAUGCUGUGAGCUCGAUGAGUAGGGCGGGACACGUGGUAUCCUGUCUGAAUAUGGGGGGACCAUCCUCCAAGGCUAAAUACUCCUGACUGACCGAUAGUGAACCAGUACCGUGAGGGAAAGGCGAAAAGAACCCCGGCGAGGGGAGUGAAAAAGAACCUGAAACCGUGUACGUACAAGCAGUGGGAGCACCCUUUGGGGUGUGACUGCGUACCUUUUGUAUAAUGGGUCAGCGACUUAUAUUCUGUAGCAAGGUUAACCGAAUAGGGGAGCCGGAGGGAAACCGAGUCUUAAUUGGGCGUUAAGUUGCAGGGUAUAGACCCGAAACCCGGUGAUCUAGCCAUGGGCAGGUUGAAGGUUGGGUAACACUAACUGGAGGACCGAACCGACUAAUGUUGAAAAAUUAGCGGAUGACCUGUGGCUGGGGGUGAAAGGCCAAUCAAACCGGGAGAUAGCUGGUUCUCCCCGAAAGCUAUUUAGGUAGCGCCUCGUGAAUUCAUCUCCGGGGGUAGAGCACUGUUUCGGCUAGGGGGCCAUCCCGGCUUACCAACCCGAUGCAAACUGCGAAUACCGGAGAAUGUUAUCACGGGAGACACACGGCGGGUGCUAACGUCCGUCGUGAAGAGGGAAACAACCCAGACCGCCAGCUAAGGUCCCAAAGUCAUGGUUAAGUGGGAAACGAUGUGGGAAGGCCCAGACAGCCAGGAUGUUGGCUUAGAAGCAGCCAUCAUUUAAAGAAAGCGUAAUAGCUCACUGGUCGAGUCGGCCUGCGCGGAAGAUGUAACGGGGCUAAACCAUGCACCGAAGCUGCGGCAGCGAACGUAUCACUUAAAGCGAUUCAGCGGAUGACGAUUGACGGAGCGAAGCGACGUCAAAGCGUAUACAAAGUCGAGUCGGUUUAAGGAUACGUUCGUUGGGUAGGGGAGCGUUCUGUAAGCCUGUGAAGGUGUGCUGUGAGGCAUGCUGGAGGUAUCAGAAGUGCGAAUGCUGACAUAAGUAACGAUAAAGCGGGUGAAAAGCCCGCUCGCCGGAAGACCAAGGGUUCCUGUCCAACGUUAAUCGGGGCAGGGUGAGUCGACCCCUAAGGCGAGGCCGAAAGGCGUAGUCGAUGGGAAACGGGUUAAUAUUCCCGUACUUGGUGUUACUGCGAAGGGGGGACGGAGAAGGCUAUGUUGGCCGGGCGACGGUUGUCCCGGUUUAAGCGUGUAGGUGUGUGUUCCAGGUAAAUCCGGUUCACUUUAACACUGAGGCGUGACGACGAGGCACUACGGUGCUGAAGCAACAAAUGCCCUGCUUCCAGGAAAAGCCUCUAAGCAUCAGGUAACAUCAAAUCGUACCCCAAACCGACACAGGUGGUCAGGUAGAGAAUACCAAGGCGCUUGAGAGAACUCGGGUGAAGGAACUAGGCAAAAUGGUGCCGUAACUUCGGGAGAAGGCACGCUGACACGUAGGUGAAGUGAUUUACUCAUGGAGCUGAAGUCAGUCGAAGAUACCAGCUGGCUGCAACUGUUUAUUAAAAACACAGCACUGUGCAAACACGAAAGUGGACGUAUACGGUGUGACGCCUGCCCGGUGCCGGAAGGUUAAUUGAUGGGGUCAGCGCAAGCGAAGCUCCUGAUCGAAGCCCCGGUAAACGGCGGCCGUAACUAUAACGGUCCUAAGGUAGCGAAAUUCCUUGUCGGGUAAGUUCCGACCUGCACGAAUGGCGUAAUGAUGGCCAGGCUGUCUCCACCCGAGACUCAGUGAAAUUGAACUCGCUGUGAAGAUGCAGUGUACCCGCGGCAAGACGGAAAGACCCCGUGAACCUUUACUAUAGCUUGACACUGAACAUUGAGCCUUGAUGUGUAGGAUAGGUGGGAGGCUUUGAAGUGUGGACGCCAGUCUGCAUGGAGCCGACCUUGAAAUACCACCCUUUAAUGUUUGAUGUUCUAACGUGGAUCCGUGAUCCGGGUUGCGGACAGUGUCUGGUGGGUAGUUUGACUGGGGCGGUCUCCUCCUAAAGAGUAACGGAGGAGCACGAAGGUUGGCUAAUCCUGGUCGGACAUCAGGAGGUUAGUGCAAUGGCAUAAGCCAGCUUGACUGCGAGCGUGACGGCGCGAGCAGGUGCGAAAGCAGGUCAUAGUGAUCCGGUGGUUCUGAAUGGAAGGGCCAUCGCUCAACGGAUAAAAGGUACUCCGGGGAUAACAGGCUGAUACCGCCCAAGAGUUCAUAUCGACGGCGGUGUUUGGCACCUCGAUGUCGGCUCAUCACAUCCUGGGGCUGAAGUAGGUCCCAAGGGUAUGGCUGUUCGCCAUUUAAAGUGGUACGCGAGCUGGGUUUAGAACGUCGUGAGACAGUUCGGUCCCUAUCUGCCGUGGGCGCUGGAGAACUGAGGGGGGCUGCUCCUAGUACGAGAGGACCGGAGUGGACGCAUCACUGGUGUUCGGGUUGUCAUGCCAAUGGCACUGCCCGGUAGCUAAAUGCGGAAGAGAUAAGUGCUGAAAGCAUCUAAGCACGAAACUUGCCCCGAGAUGAGUUCUCCCUGAGACUUAAAGUCUCCUGAAGGAACGUUGAAGACGACGACGUUGAUAGGCCGGGUGUGUAAGCGCAGCGAUGCGUUGAGCUAACCGGUACUAAUGAACCGUGAGGCUUAACCUU